UACGUAGGGGGCAAGCGUUAUCCGGAUUUACUGGGCGUAAAGCGCGUUAAGGCGGUUGGCAAAGUUGGUGGUGAAAUUGCAGGGCUCAACCCUGCAACUGCCUCCAAUACUGGUCGACUAGAGUACGAGAGAGGAAGGUGGAAUUCCCGGUGUAGUAGUGAAAUGCGUAGAUAUCUGGAGGAACACCGGCGGCGAAGGCGGCAUCCUGGACCGACAUUGACGCUGAGUGAGCGAAAGCUAGGGGAGCAAACGGG
rnacentral:rRNA from 1 species